ensembl:lncRNA LINC00598 long intergenic non-protein coding RNA 598
ACACUGGAGUUGUGACAUCAGCACUAUUCUGCCUCUGCUAUACAACAGGCCCUGGAACAUACUCGAACCAUGUAGGUGAUUUGUGUCCCUGUCUCAUCUUUCUUACCAGAAUACCAUCGGAGCUCCUCUGGAACAUGUCCUUGUCUUCUCAGAGUGUGAAGUGUGUGUGUGACAGUGCUUUUCUGAGGACUCAGGUGACCUGGAGGCUGGAGAACAGCAUGGAGCAAGGAAAACAAAGACGAUGUGCUGGAGUGUAUGUUGCUUUCAUAAUUAUGUGAAAGAAAAUGUAGAGAAAUUUGAAAGGAGAACUGGUUAUCAGUAGUGCCAUCCUGCUCAAAUAUCUUCAAAUACACACCACCAUCCAUGUGUGGGUUGAUUAAGGAGCUGACGUUCAUUAGAUCUGCAGUCUCCUGACCUGAUGUGCAUCAGAAUCACUGGGAGAACAAACAAACAAAAAUGAAUCCAAAACAAGCAACGAACAGACAGAUUCUCAAGUCUUGCCAAGUCCAAAGAUUGAUUUGGUGGAGAAAUUGUACUUUGAAAGCUGCCCAGUGUAUAUCCAUGCCAAAUAGACACAAAGCUGGAAGGGGCGUGAUUUGAAAUGCUCUGGGUUGGUUACAGGUUCAAGUGAUUCUCCUGCCUCAGCCUCUCGUGUAGCUGGGAUUACAGGUGCGUGCCACCACGCCCGGCUAAUGUUGUAUUUUUAGUAGAGAUGGGGUUUCACCAUGUUGGUCAGGGUGGUCUUGAGCUCCCAACCUCAGGUGAUCCGACUGCCUCAGCCUCCCAAAGUGCUGGGAUUACAGGCAUGAGCCACUAUGCCUGGCGGAAGAGGAUGACUUCUAACGAUCUGUCAUGGAAGAGUGAGGUUUGGUGUUGCCACGAUGAGGUAUAUCAUGCAGAAAAA